rnacentral:rRNA from 1 species
CUCCUACGGGAGGCAGCAGCAGGGAAUAUUGCACAAUGGGCGAAAGCCUGAUGCAGCGACGCCGCGUGCGGGAUGAAGGCCUUCGGGUUGUAAACCGCUUUCAGCAGGGACGAAAAUGACGGUACCUGCAGAAGAAGCCCCGGCCAACUACGUGCCAGCAGCCGCGGUAAUACGUAGGGGGCGAGCGUUGUCCGGAUUUAUUGGGCGUAAAGGGCUCGUAGGCGGUUUGACAAGUCGGAUGUGAAAGCCCGAGGCUCAACCUCGGAAUUGCAUUCGAAACUAUUCGACUAGAGUCCCGGAGAGGGUGGUGGAAUUCCCGGUGUAGGGGUGAAAUCCGUAGAUAUCGGGAGGAACACCAGUGGCGAAGGCGACCACCUGGACGGUGACUGACGCUGAGACGCGAAAGCGUGGGGAGCAAACAGGAUUAGAUACCCUGGUAGUCCACGCCGUAAACGGUGAGUGCUAGACGUCGCGGGUAUUGACUCCCGCGGUGUCGAAGUUAACGCGUUAAGCACUCCGCCUGGGGAGUACGGCCGCAAGGCUAAAACUCAAAGGAAUUGACGG